AGAAAAACGUGUGGGAGACGUGACUCUGAUGUCUGUUUAAACGUGAGAUGCUGGGUCCCCCAUGACAGAGCCGCUGCCAUGGGAUGAAACUACCAACCCCCAGCCUUUUUCUUUGGAGUAAAGGCAGAGCUACUGAUGAGCUGCUCAGUGUGGAGAUGAAGGUCAUACUGCAGACUGACUGAAGCAGUGUGUGGAGCAGCUGGCCUGUAGGGGGCAGUACACAGCAGGAACCAAAACUGAUGUCAGUGUUGCUUGACUGGUGUGGAGAACUGGAGUCCACCUGCUGGGAUGUGACCAGGCACUUCUGCUCAGCCUGAGUUUGAGGAUGAAAUUUAAACUGUCAAACAUUGAUUACAUCAACUUUACUGAAAUGUAAAAUCUGUGAUGGUUGAAUAAAAUUUGAAAAAUCUGCA